GAAUGGAGGCCCGAACCCACGCACGUUGAAAAGUGCGGGGAUGAGGUGUGGGUAGCGGAGAAAUUCCAAUCGAACCUGGAGAUAGCUGGUUCUCUCCGAAAUAGCUUUAGGGCUAGCCUCAUGUUGUAAGAGUCUUGGAGGUAGAGCACUGAUUGGACUAGGGGCCCCCAACGGGUUACCGAAUUCAGUCAAACUCCGAAUGCCAAAGACUUAUCCAUGGGAGUCAGACUGCGAGUGAUAAGAUCCGUAGUCAAA
rnacentral:rRNA from 1 species